GCCCGCCUAGCUCAAUCGGAUAGAGCGUCAGACUCUUAUAGUCGCUGAAGGGAGGGUUUAUGAUCUGAAGGCUGCGAGUUCGACCCUCGCGGUGGGCU
rnacentral:tRNA from 1 species